rnacentral:rRNA from 1 species
GACGAACGUUGGCGGCGUGCUUAAUACAUGCAAGUCAACUGAAGCAGUGGUAGCAAUAUCGCUGUGGAGGUGGCGCACGGGUGAGUAACACGUAGGUCAUCUGCCUUCAGGUCUGGCAUAACUCCGGGAAACCGGGGCUAAUAGCAGAUGAUGCAGCGGCUCGACAUCGUGACAGUUGUUAAAGCUAUGGCGCCUGAGGAUGAGGCUGCGUCUGAUUAGCUAGUUGUCGGGGUAACGGCCGACCAAGGCAACGAUCAGUAGCUGGUCGGAGAGGAUGAUCAGGAACACUGGAACUGAGACACGGACCAGACUCCUACGGGAGGCAGCAGUAAGGAAUAUUGCUCAAUGGGAGAAAUCCUGAAGCAGCACCGCAGCGAGAGGGACGAAGGGCUUGUGCUUGUAAACCUCUGUAGUGAGAGAAAAAAGUCCCAAUCUAGGGGACAUGAUGGUACCUCAAAAGUAAGCCCCGGCUAACUACGUG